GUUACUUCUCCGGAGAGCGAUGUUAGCUUUUCCGCGCAUCGUCUCGCUUGUUUGCAUUUCCAGCCCAAGGUCACGGAAAGGAGGAGGAGGAGGAGGGAAAGGCACCCGGGAGCCGGGAGAUGCGCACGGGCCGGGCCCCGACGUGUGCGCGGCGGCUCCGGGGCCGGGGCCGGGCGGGCUAUGCCUGCCGCCGGGGCCGGUGGCAGCCGGCAGCCCCGGCUGGGGCCUGCCCCGAGCCCGAGCACACCUUUGGGGAACGGCCCCCAUCCCGCGGCCAGCCGUGACGCCGGGCUCCCCGCCGAGACCGGUCGCAUCCCGGCACCGCCAACAUGAGAGAGGCCGGAUAGACAGACAGACAGAGUCCCCGGUGCCCAGCGUUGGGGAGAAGCGGCAGAAAGCGAAAGGGGACGCCGAGAAGUGACAGCACAAGAAGCGGGGCGGCGAGGCUCCGCACUCUCAGCCCACCUCGGGGCUCUGCAGAUAACCGCAGGCGCACGAGUACAGGACACACACACACACACACAGAGCCCCCUCGCAGAUAGGCACCGAAUACGUCUCUCCUGCGAGAUAACGGGGAGAUAAGGCCGCGGCAGAUAAGGGCUCCAGGCACUGGCGUCGGAUGUUUGCCCACCGAGCCUCCCCCCGGCAGGCGCAGCCGCCGCCCCGCCGCUUGCCUCCGGGAGCGGCCGAGAGGCGGGAGCAGAAAAGCGGGGAAGAGAAAGGGAAAUCGCGGCGGUGAAGGGAGGAGAAGGGGGGAACUAUCCGAGGGGAAAAAAAUGCAGCUCCUCCUUGACUUGCCUCAACCGUCAGGUGAAGCCAAAGUAAGCUGUGGGAUGUGUCCACCCCAGCUGCAGGCGAGGUUAUCAGCUGGAUAUCUGUCAUCAUCAGUUUGUACAGAAAGUCAUCUGCGGCAAAGGGCUGGACUAAGAGCGGAGCCCGGCUCUAGGCAGCCGGCAGGCAGGAGCCCUCCCGACAGAAACCGAGCCCAAACCUGCUGAUGCGCGGUGCUGUCGCUCCUGGGGUUUGCUCUCGAACCGCUCAAACCCUGUAGCCUUCGCUUCCUAACUCUUCGUGACGUCACUCCCUCCCCAAACCCCACUCUUCUGACGUAACUUUGACCCCGGGAGCCGCUCGGGUACCUCCUGUCCCCGGGGCCGGGUCUCCGAGGUCUGCCUGGUUAAUGAUUUCAGCCUUUAAAAAUGAAAAAAAAAAAAAAGAAAGAAAAGAAAAAAUAGGAUUAAAACCAACAAAACGCGCGGAGGAGAGGCUCUCGCUGCCGCGUAACUUGACUCCCGAAGCCGGCGCCCGGCGGUACCCGCACGGGUCAGGCCAGAAGGACACCCCACCCCACCCCACCCCCCUCCGCGCCCCGCGGGCUCCCUGCCCGCUCCUGCCUGAGUGCCGGGGAAGGCUUUCAGGGAUCCUUUCUACUGGAUCGGACACGGAAAAACCGGGGGAAAGUUUCUCGGGUUUGUUGCUGCGGGAGCUCAUUGCGGGAGAGAGCUGGCAGCGGGGGGACGCGGGGCACGGCGGGGACGCGCUCCCCCCCCGCCACUUCGGAGCAAGGCUUCUCCUCAUCCUCCCCUCGGCCUUCAUCACCCAUGUCAGGCACUAUCAAUUGCAAUUAGCUAUCCUGCCUCCGCCCCUAUUCCCGCAGCGGAGGUUGCAGAGCCUUAAUUCUUUUUCAACUUUAAGAAAAAAAAACCCCAGCCCAACAACCCCGCACAAGCAAAGUCCCGCAUCACUAGGUACCCCUUGGGCCGGCUGCUGGUACUACCGCACACCGUUAAGAAAAUAUCGUUUUAUGCAUCCAAACCUGUCGGAAAAUGCGGCCCCUCACUUCCCCCCCAACAUCGUUGCUUUCUUAUUUUUUCUUCCCAGGAAAUAAAAUAAAACAUCAGAACUGGUCAAAA